rfam:Capsicum annuum cultivar Zunla-1 chromosome 7, whole genome shotgun sequence
UGAUGAUGGUGAGGGCCAUUUCUGAGCAUACACUUAAAUCUUUUCCAAGCUUGGUAGAGAUUCUCUCCUUCUUUCUGUCUGAAGCUCAAGAUCUCACUCCUCAAACG